CAAAAAUUUUCAAUUGGCCGCCAAACUCAAAUAAUUACUUAAUUUUAUCCUUAUUGACACUCUCAUUAUCUAGUCCUCUUUCAUUAGUCGCUAUUUUCUUCUUUAGAGAGAGUGAGAGACCUAGCGAGAGCUGUAACAAUGGUGGCGGGCAAGAAGAGAUAAAACACUUGAGAGUGGUUUGGUGUGAGACGAAUCUACAGGUACACGAAGGACUCCUACCCAGAUCGAGAAUUUCAAGAGAUUGCAAGCACAAGCACAAUUCACAUAAAUACUUGUGUAGAAAAGAGAGAAAAUCCUCCGACAAUACUCUAGUUUCAUUUCUUUCAGAACCUUUGUUAGCGUUGCUUGGAGAUCGGAGAGUUGCUGGAGAAACGAAAGACAAUUAUUGAAUCUGUCAAGGCCGUCGACAUCACCAUAGCCCUCCACUUUGCCGCAAUUGCUUAACUCAUGUGUCUUGCGUUUAAUUUUAGAUCAACUGGUGUUAGUUUUGUUGGUUUCAAGAGACACACUAGGUGUUUGAUAAUUUGCUUGUGAGAAAGCCUUAUUGUUUCUCUCUAUCAACUGGUGUUAGUCUUGUUGUUCGUGAUCAUUACUUAUUAGAUAAAAAACCAUGUGACUUUCGCUUAACAAAGACUACUUCAA